rnacentral:rRNA from 1 species
UACGUAGGGUGCGAGCGUUAAUCGGAAUUACUGGGCGUAAAGCGUGCGCAGGCGGUUUUGUAAGUCAGAUGUGAAAUCCCCCGGGCUCAACCUGGGAAUGGCGGUGGAAACUGGCGAGCUAGAGUGUGUCAGAGGGGGGUGGAAUUCCACGUGUAGCAGUGAAAUGCGUAGAGAUGUGGAGGAACACCAAUGGCGAAGGCAGCCCCCUGGGAUAACACUGACGCUCAGGCACGAAAGCGUGGGGAGCAAACAGG